rnacentral:rRNA from 1 species
AUGAGCCGAUCGGGGCAGCCGCCGGAUCUGAAGAAUUACUCUGAUAGGCAUUUAUUCAAGCUGAAUGCGAACCGUGUUGUCAUUGGCACGCUUCGUGGAUUUGAUCAGUUCAUGAAUUUGGUGGUGGAUAACACUGUGGAGGUCAAUGGAGAUGAGAAGACCGACAUAGGGAUGGUGGUUCUGAGAGGAAAUAGUGUGGUGAUGAUUGAAGCCCUUGAACCAAUUGCCAGGUCUCAGUGA